AUGCAAAGCGACUGUGAGGGUUAUCUUCUACACCCUUUGUGAACAUUACCUAAACGUUGCCUCGGCAUGGUUGGCUCCCUCCGGGAGUCCCUCUCUAUAGAGAGGAGCAGACCGGCCGGCGGCCUCUAGAAACUCUGUUUUUUUUGUACAUCAUCUGAGUAAUCAACAUAUAAUGAUUUAAAACUUUCAACAACGGAUCUCUUGGUUCUGGCAUCGAUGAAGAACGCAGCGAAAUGCGAUAAGUAAUGUGAAUUGCAGAAUUCAGUGAAUCAUCGAAUCUUUGAACGCACAUUGCGCCCGGUGGUAUUCCACCGGGCAUGCCUGUUCGAGCGUCAUUUCACCCCUCAAAGCCCGGCUUUGGUGUUGGAGGACUACCUGUCACAGGGUACCCUCUGAAAUGUAGUGGCGGGCUCGCUAGAAUUUUGAGCGUAGUAAUUUUACCUCGUUUGUAAAGCCUAGUGGGACUACUUGCCGUAAAACCCCCAACUUUCUGA
rnacentral:rRNA from 1 species